AUACAGAGGGUGCGAGCGUUAAUCGGAAUUACUGGUCGUAAAGCGCGCGUAGGCGGUCUAUUAAGUCAGAUGUGAAAUCCCAGGGCUCAACCUUGGAACUGCAUCUGAUACUGGUAGACUAGAGUUUUGGAGAGGGAAGUAGAAUUUCAGGUGUAGCGGUGAAAUGCAUAGAGAUCUGAAGGAAUACCAGUGGCGAAGGCGACUUCCUGGCCAAAAACUGACGCUGAGGUGCGAAAGCGUGGGUAGCAAACGGGAUUAGAUACCCUAGUAGUCC
rnacentral:rRNA from 1 species